UGGGCUAUCGCCAAGCGGUAAGGCACAGGGCUUUGACCCCUGUAUUCGCCGGUUCGAAUCCGGCUAGCCCAG
rnacentral:tRNA from 1 species